GCUUUUCAUCAACUUCCUAUAAAGGUUGUCACUCACAACUUGUUAAGAAAUUGUUGAAAUGACAAAUUGCUACAAGGUUGUUGAGCUCAACAGACUUCUUACAAGCUGUUCCCACAACUUGUUAUCGUUCUGCAAUUCAUCAAUUUCUUAACAAGUUGUGAGCGACAACCUUGUAGCAAGUUGAUGAAAUAACAGC